rnacentral:rRNA from 1 species
GAUCCUGGCUCAGGAUGAACGCUAGCUACAGGCUUAACACAUGCAAGUCGAGGGGAAACGAUAGAGAAAGCUUGCUUUUUCUAGGCGUCGACCGGCGCACGGGUGAGUAACGCGUAUCCAACCUGCCCAUCACUUGGAGAUAACCUUGCGAAAGUAAGACUAAUACCCAAUGACGUCUCUAGAAGACAUCUGAAGGAGAUUAAAGAUUUAUCGGUGAUGGAUGGGGAUGCGUCUGAUUAGCUUGUUGGCGGGGUAACGGCCCACCAAGGCGACGAUCAGUAGGGGUUCUGAGAGGAAGGUCCCCCACAUUGGAACUGAGACACGGUCCAAACUCCUACGGGAGGCAGCAGUGAGGAAUAUUGGUCAAUGGGCGCGAGCCUGAACCAGCCAAGUAGCGUGGAGGACGACGGCCCUACGGGUUGUAAACUCCUUUUAUAAGGGGAUAAAGUUGGCCAUGUAUGGCCAUUUGCAGGUACCUUAUGAAUAAGCAUCGGCUAGUUCCGUG